rnacentral:rRNA from 1 species
AUUGAACGCUGGCGGCAGGCCUAACACAUGCAAGUCGAACGGAGCGGCAGACGGGUACGUGAUGCCAAGGAGUCUGCCUGGUGGUGGUGGAUAACGUCCAGAAACGGGAGCUAAUACCUCAUACUAUCCCAUUACACUAGGUUGGAUUCGCUAGUGGGUGGGGUAAAGGCCUACAAAGGCGACGAUCCGUAACGGGUCUGAGAGGAUGAUCAGUCACACGGGAACGGAGACACGGUCAAGAUUCCUACGGGAGGAAGCAGUGGGGAAUAUUGGACAAUGGGGGAAAGCCGGAGGCAGCCAGGCCGGGGGGGGGAAGAAGGUCUUCGGAUUGUAAAGCACUUUAAGUUGGGAGGCGGUACCAACAGAAUAAGCACCGGCUAACUACGUGCCAGCAGCCGCGGUAAUAC